rfam:Gossypium hirsutum cultivar TM-1 unplaced genomic scaffold scaffold280.1, whole genome shotgun sequence
UGUUAAAAACUCCAUCCAUUUGUACUGUUAACUAACCCAACAGUGACAUAUGGCGUGCUACGUGCACCUCAUGCUAACGUAUAGAAACCAGUUUUUAACUGUAUAAAUUGAUGAGAUUUUUAAUA